rnacentral:rRNA from 1 species
CCUUAUGUCCAAGCCACCGCGAACGUGCCCGAUCUCGUCUGAUAUCAGAAGCUAAACAGGGUCAGGCCUGAUUAGUACUUGGAUAGGAGACCACCUAGCAAGACCAGACGCUGUAGGCG